UCAGAACGUACGCNGGCGGCACGCCUAACACAUGCAAGUCGAACGCAGUAGCAAUACUGAGUGGCGAACGGGUGAGUAUAAUGUGGGUAUCUGCCUUUUGGUUUGGAAUAACACGGGGAAACUUGUGCUAAUACCGGAUAAGCCUUCACAGGGAAAGCUUUAGCGCCAAAAGAUGAGCCCGCACUUGAUUAGCUAGUUGGUGGGGUAAAGGCCUACCAAGGCAACGAUCAAUAGCUGAUCUGAGAGGAUGAUCAGCCACAUUGGGACUGAGACACGGCCCAAACUCNUACGGGAGGCAGCAGUGGGGAAUCUUGCACAAUGGGGGAAACCCUGAUGCAGCGAUGCCGCGUGAGUGAAGAAGGCCUUUGGGUUGUAAAGCUCUUUCGUCGGGGAAGAAAAUGACUGUACCCGAAUAAGAAGGUCCGGCUAACUUCGUGCCAGCAGCCGCGGUAAUACGAAGGGACCUAGCGUAGUUCGGAAUUACUGGGCUUAAAGAGCUCGUAGGUGGUUAGAAAAGUUGGUGGUGAAAUCCCAAGGCUUAACCUUGGAACUGCCAUCAAAACUUUUUGACUAGAGUAUGAUAGAGGAAAGUGGAAUUUCUAGUGUAGAGGUGAAAUUCGUAGAUAUUAGAAAGAACACCGAAUGCGAAGGCAACUUUCUGGAUCAUUACUGACACUGAGGAGCGAAAGCAUGGGUAGCGAAGAGGAUUAGAUACCCUCGUAGUCCAUGCCGUAAACGAUGUGUGCUAGACGUUGGAAAUUUAGUUUUCAGUGUCGCAGCGAAAGCGUUAAGCACACCGCCNGGGGAGUACGACCGCAAGGUUAAAAC
rnacentral:rRNA from 1 species